rnacentral:rRNA from 1 species
GAUGAACGCUGGCGGCGUGCCUAAUACAUGCAAGUCGAGCGAACAGACGAGGAGCUUGCUCCUCUGACGUUAGCGGCGGACGGGUGGGUAACACGUGGAUAACCUACCUAUAAGACUGGGAUAACUUCGGGAAACCGGAGCUAAUACCGGAUAAUAUAUUGAACCGCAUGGUUCAAUAGUGAAAGACGGUUUUGCUGUCACUUAUAGAUGGAACCGCGCCGCAUUAGCUAGUUGGUAAGGUAACGGCUUACCAAGGCAACGAUGCGUAGCCGACCUGAGAGGGUGAUCGGCCACACUGGAACUGAGACACGGUCCAGACUCCUACGGGAGGCAGCAGUAGGGAAUCUUCCGCAAUGGGCGAAAGCCUGACGGAGCAACGCCGCGUGAGUGAUGAGGGUCUUCGGAUCGUAAAACUCUGUUAUUAGGGAAGAACAAAUGUGUAAGUAACUAUGCACGUCUUGACGGUACCUAAUCAGAAAGCCACGGCUAACUACGUG